GCUCAGUGUCUCUUGUUUCGUCUCAAAAACAUAAUUUAAUGACGUUGGGUUAAUGUUUGACUCUCAGAUGUCUUAUUGGCUUCUUCAGGGAGCUCACGACACAUUGGUCGACGCGCUGACUGUGGUGACGGUCAUCAGCAACGAGGAAACGGUCAUUCCAGCUUUAGUGGACUCGGCUGGAAGACCACAUCAGAAGGUGCUGAAGCCAAACUGGAGCAGCCAGAGAAGUUGGGGACAAGUUUGAUGCUUCCUGUGAAUGCAGCAAUGUGAGCACUUGGACGAAGUCCCAGGCAGCAACAAGUCACAUCCUCUUCAUUGCUGGUAAUCUUCUGAAGGAGGGUAAGGGACACCUGAGAUGACUUGCAGCAACCACUCCUCACAUGUC